GGGCACAUAGCUCAGCUGGGAGAGCACCUGCCUUACAAGCAGGGGGUCACAGGUUCGAGCCCUGUUGCGCCCACCA
rnacentral:tRNA from 2 species